AAACGGAGCCCAGGAAUAGAGAAGGAAGUGCAGGUUGUGGACUGGGCAACCCCCAAGGCGGCAAAGAGGAAACCAGAGACAGGGUCUCGGUCUGUUACCCAAGCUGAAGAGCAAUGGGAUGAUCAUGGCUCACUGCAGCCUCAGAUUCCUGGGCUCAAGUGAUCCUCCCAUCUCAGCCUCCCAAGUAGCUGGACCUACAGACAUCCACCAUCAUGCCUGGGCCCCAGGUACUGAAGAUAAGAAUAUAGAGAAGUUUUUCUUCUGACAGACUUGCUGGAAGCCAGGUGGCUAUCGCUGGUAACAAUCCAGGAAGCUAACGGAUAACUUCUGUAACAACUGGACCCACACGGCCAGGACUUGAUUAAUGACUGACAUCUACCCUAAUUUUUGUGCCUACAUCCAAUUUAAGACCAAACAGAGAAAACGAAACACGCACCCCUAACCGAUCAUGCAGAAUGCCCCUACUUCUGUUUAGCCCGCCUACAGCUUCCCCAUGGCAAUAGCCUCCAAUCAGGAUACACCUGAACCCUUCCCUCCCCACCCACUGCCCUGCUAUAAAGCUUUCUCAUUUCUCUGCCUUUGAAUCACUGCCAAAACACAGCGACAGUAGCUAACUCCCUUGUUGUAUAGCAGGCUGUGAAAAAAUA
rnacentral:lncRNA from 1 species